CUCUUUUAAUGACCCCAUAAUCCUUGGUAGGGUAGAGUCUAGGCAACUGAGUGGAGUUGAGUGUUUACUGGCCGGAUGCCCUUACUGUUGCCAAUGUGGACUUUU